CCUUACGGAGGCAGCAGUGAGGAAUAUUGGACAAUGGGCGCAAGCUGAUCCAGCCAUGCCGCGUGCAGGAUGAAGCAUCUAUGGUGUGUAAACUGCUUUUAUACGGGAAGAAACCCUCGAACGUGUUCGAGAUUGACGGUACCGUAAGAAUAAGGACCGGCUAACUCCGUGCCAGCAGCCGCGGUAAUACGGAGGGUCCGAGCGUUAUCCGGAAUCAUUGGGUUUAAAGGGUCCGUAGGCGGCCCAGUAAGUCAGUGGUGAAAUCUCCCGGCUCAACCGGGAAAUUGCCAUUGAUACUGCUGGGCUUGAAUUACCAGGAAGUAACUAGAAUAUGUAGUGUAGCGGUGAAAUGCUUAGAGAUUACAUGGAAUACCAAUUGCGAAGGCAGGUUACUACUGGUGGAUUGACGCUGAUGCACGAAAGCGUGGGUAGCGAACAGGAUUAGAUACCCUGGUAGUCCACGCCGUAAACGAUGGAUACUAGCUGUUCGGAAGCAACUCUGAGUGUCUAAGCGAAA
rnacentral:rRNA from 1 species